AAUCCCAGCGCACAUGGUAUCUCAAAAUAAAGCUGAGUGGAUGUGAAAUUAGUUAGGUAGAUAGAUAUCGCAGUACAAUGAUAUUCUGAAUCAUUCAACCCAUGUACUUGUUAACUACACUAUUUGUUAUGCAUUAAUUCUGAUUUUAUUUAUAUUUUUCUUGCAAUUAUGGGAUGGUAAUGAUCAACUUUUUGUUCUUAAGAUGGUAAUGGACAAAAAGACUCGAAUCCAAGUGUUGAUUCUGAACUCAUCUUGUACAUGUAUAUACAGCUAGGUAGGUCUAAAAUGAAGUGCCAUUAGGGUUUUCUUCCUCUUAUAAUUAUAACAUAAGUACGAUUAGGGUUAUUAGGAGAUGAGCAUGGCUUGUCGUAUCAAAUAUUGAGCUCGUGAGAGACGGUUUCUUGAAUAGAGUACAAGAGACAGGCAGUCUAUCUACCCUUGUAAUUCUUUCAGUGGGCAUGGUCCCUUUUCUUCCUAUAAAUUGAGGCUACUGGUGGUCUACGAUAGGUCAUCCCCAAAGCUCUCUCUCUCUCUCUCACUCCCUCUAGACCAUUAUACACCUUUCCUUUUAAAGAAACUUUCUUUAUGAAUAUUAUAAUCUCUUCUUAUCAAGUCUAUUUUCAUCUACUCGGGGUAAAAUCAAAUUAUAAAUAUAUAAAAAAAGAGUUCAGAAUCCAAUAGAAUUGGGAGUUGUGUGGAGAGGAGGCACUUGUGAUGUUGUUGACAGAAGAUAGAGAGCACAGAUGAUGUUUUGCAGUAGACUCUCUGGAUCUCACUCCUUUGUGCUCUCUAUGCUUCUGCCAUCACCUUCAGCCCCGACCCCCAGUCCCCCCCCCCCCCCCUCCUCCUAGUCUUCCUUUAUUUCUUUGCUUGGUAUUUUAUUUUGCUUUGUUUCAUUGAUAUUUUCUCUAGUAUGUUUGCAGCUAGGAAAUCUGCAAGAGUAACGCAAGUGAUACAGAUCAUGGAAAAGGGUUCUUGAGAAUGUUCGAAGUAAUUUCUCAGGGUAAGCACAAUUGCUAGGGACAACUAAUUAAUAGACCAUAAAAGAGGUAUUUCUCAUUUCUUUCAUCCAUUUUGUUUUCUCCUGGUUUUUUCUUUGAUAAAGAAAUUUCUUAAAUCAUCUUCGUCAAAGGAAUUAGCUAGUCUGGCAUGUGCACUCAGCCUUUGUGUUUGUUUUUACAUUUUGCUGUACAGAUGCAAGUCAAUGUUAUAGUGGACUUUGGUUCAUUAUGUAUUACAAAUAAUCUCUUGCUGUAUAAAUCUUUAUGACAAUUCUAUAUAUAAUUUAAUUAUUUUUAAUUUUCAUAAUGAGUUCUCUGAUGUUAUAAUUAAAGAGAUUCCUAAAUUAUUGACAUAUGUUCAAUAGCUAGGCACCACGUACUAGCUUUGUGGAAGAAGGGCCAUCCAAAUUAUUGGUGGUUUUCUUUUCUUUCUUUUUUUCUUUUUUUUGGGAUAUUAUUAUUUUUCGUCAAGGAAUGUAUAAGAAACCAGAACAAAGGAUAUUAAUUCCUGCGAAAACAGCACAAAUUGGGCUGAAGCUUUUUUUAAGUGAGUUUGAUAUAAAUUGUUUUGAUCUUCAACCUCAAAUUUUCUUUCUUGCUUAGAACUUUGCUUAGAACUUGAAUCAGUUUUUUUACUAAAGUUUUCGGCUGGAGGAAUCUGAUAACUAAUCUAUAUAUAUAAGACUGUGACCGGAUCCCUUCUUACAUGCUAUUGAUAUUACAUAUUUACACUUAAAUCUGUUAAAUUAAUUCUGUUUAUCAGGAGUAUGAGCAAGCCUAAGAGCAUGAUUCUAAAUAGUUAAUAUUCUCCAUAUUGAUAUAGUUAACUUUAUUUUAUUUGUGAUUCUUAUGGUAUGGCAUAAUUUUUUUUUUUAACGUAGUCGUUCAGGUUAGCUUGCGCGUACCUCAACUAAUCCUAAGGGCCCUGAAGUUAACGACCAUGUAAGCCUCCAAUAGCCUUGAGGUUUGUGAAAUUUGAACUGAUGAUCUUUAUGGAGCAAACAUAGAACUUGACCAGUUGAGAUACACCCCUCAGGGUUUGGUAUGACAUAUUCUUGAUAAGAUUCUAGAAGAUAAUUUUCAACUUUCAGACAUACCUUGAACAUGACUCAAGAGUAAACAACCGCUUCCAGGAGCAAAAAUAGAGAGGAGAAGUCACCAACUCAGGAUUACUAGUUGAUUAUAUAUUUACAUAUGAAUUGAAAAAUAGAAGUUGUAUGAUUUGAACUAAAAAUAUUUUUUUUCUAGUUGAUUUCGUUAAACUAUUAGCUCAUUUUUAUUUUAUUAUAUUUUUAAUUUGAUGAAAUGCUCAAAUUGCACAAUUAGUAUGCGCAUUGCAAUUUUAUAUUUUUAUUGUUUUCUCAUGGUCAUUUUAUUCAUUAAAUGUAAAUGUGCUUUAUUCAAUCUUGAUGAGAAAAAUAAUUAAUAAGAACAUUUUUCAGUCAUAUGCUUUAUUGUUCAUUCUCCUCUACCCUAGCCAUCCAUUUCUCAUCUAUAUUAGCCACCCUAUUUCUGGAACUGGAACUACCUCUGCACAAUAUAUAUAUAGUUUACAUUCACAAAUCAGGGGGGAAAACAAAAACUGGCAAAGUGCUAUUUUAUCUCCCCAAUGGAACUCAAUGCUUUGAGAACAUGCCUUGAGUUAAACAGGAGAAAUCAUAAUCCUUUUUGUUUUGCAUUGAAUUACCAGAUGAAACUGGAGCUGCUGAUUGAGUUUUACUGGCUCCAAUGGUUGUUCCACCAUUGGCAGGGGUAACUUGUCCCAUGUCAUAAAAGCUGGAAAAAACAAAUGGUAGGAAUUUAUGCCACCCUCUUCUCUUCUACAAAUGCAAAAAUCAAUCACCACCACAUAAAACCACAUAGAAAUUAUCUUAGUUAGAAACCUCUCUACUUCAAAAUCACAACUCAAGCCUCUCUUCUCUUUAUUUUCGUGCUCAAUCACUUUUAACACCAUUAAAACCCAUAAUUCCUAUUGUAAUUUGUAUACCUAAAACCCCAUAAAAACCAAUUUUCAAUAUUUUUUUCUCUUCAAAAGCAAUUAAUCCUAACCCAUCAAAGCACUAAGCUUUCAUGAUUUUCAAGACCCCACAUAGUAUCCAUUUCACUAGAGACUAGAAUAUCCAAGUUUUCUUAAAAGAAAUUUUAUUAUUUACCAUCGUAACCGAAACUCAAAACUUGAUUUAGCUGAAAAUAUAUCUAACCCCAUAAAAAAAUAGCUUUUUUUCUUUAUUCUUUUUUACAUUUCUAAAUUAAACACAACUUCCAACAAGAAUCUAAAGACUAGAGAACCCAAAUUAAAAAAAAAAAAAAAAAACCAACCUCCCAUUCUCCAUGUAUUCUUAAAUAAAAAAAAAACCUCCAAAUGAAAAAACCAUUUCACAAAUUAAUCUUGAUGCUAAAAAACUAACCUAGAUUUGAACAAAGAGAGCUAUCUUUCUCUUACCGUUUGAUUUAUGAGGAAACAAGAAAAAUUAAAAAAUUAAAAAAUUAAUGAAAAUUAGAAAUAGAGAUAAAGAGUUUAAGCUACACAGAUCAAAAGUAUAUAGUAAUAAUAAUAAUAAUAAUAUUAAUAUGAGAAAUGGAUUUCAAUCCAUAAUUUUUAAUCAACUUAUGUUGAUUAUAAUAAAUAGAAAGGUAGUUUGGUUAUUUUCUCAGAUUUGAAAUUUUUUUUACUCAAGACGAAUACUGGAAUUAUUCAAAACUCCAUAAAAAAAAUAUAUAAUUUUAACUAAAUUAUAGAAUGCUAGGGGUAAGUUUUCCAAAAUAAAAAAGAAAUAGAAUAUCUAAAAAAUCUUUUUCCUUUUGUGAUGACAUGAUUGAAAAUGAAUUCCUUCCAAGCAUUGCGAGAUGGUGCCAUCUCAUUGAACCAAGGUUACAUCUAUAAAAGUUUUAUUUCAUUUUCGCCCAUCUAGUUAAAUACAUCAAUUGAAUCCGACUCCGACACCCAUGCACAGCUCAGACUAAUGUACAAAAUAAAAA